AUGGCCGCCGCCAAGUUCAUCGGGACGCCGCUGCUUCCCACCGCCCGGACCCGGCCUGGAGUUGCCGCCCUCGGCCGUUUCCCCGCCUUCUCCAGCAACGACGCGACCUCCCUGACCCCGCGCCAAGUUCAUCUUCGAGCCAAGCCGCCCUGGAGAUUCUUCGCUGUCUCGCCAAGUCCCUCUCCUCUCCGACCAGGCCCGUUCCUGUGCCUCUGCCGCACCGCCAUGUUCCUGGAGCCGCGGUGCCCUGCUUGCGUCGAGCCGCCACAUCCGCCGUUGCAGUCUCGCCGCGCUGCGCCCCUGCUUCGUCUCGCUGCGGAUGGAGUAGCGAGCCAGCGCCAAGCGGCCGCCUUCCUCCAUGUCCCCCGCCCGUGUCAUCUGCUUCGAGCGACAGAAUGA
rnacentral:rRNA from 1 species